rnacentral:rRNA from 1 species
CGUAGGAGACGAGCGUUAUCCGGAUUUACUGGGCGUAAAGCGUGUGCAGGCGGUUCGGCAAGUUGGAUGUGAAAUCUCCCGGCUCAACUGGGAGGGGUCGUUCAAAACUACCGAACUUGAGGUCAUCAGAGGAAGGUGGAAUUCCGGGUGUAGUGGUGAAAUGCGUAGAUAUCCGGAGGAACACCAGUGGCGAAGGCGGCCUUCUGGGAUGAUCCUGACGCUCAGACACGAAAGCUAGGGGAGCGAACGGGAUUAGAGACCCCGGUAGUCCUAGCUGUAAACGAUGUAGACUUGGCGUCGGAGGGUUCAAAACCUUCGGUGUCGUAGCUAACGCGAUAAGUCUACCGCCUGGGGGACUACGGCCGCAAGGUUA